AAACACUUGACAUGACGGCUGUCCUAAACAAAAGCUUGGGAACCACUGCUAUAUAAAAACAUGGAAGUAAAGAUUGCAUAGCUAAUGCAAACCGUGUCCCGACACUUGCAUCAGCACUCACAUAGUGUUAAGGAAGUUUCUCUUGUGACAUUAGAACAGCAGCAGAGUCAUGUAUUCAGGUUCUCUCUCUGUGCUCACUGAUGCUCUCCAUGGCGUAGGGUAACUCUGGGUUGGGCUUCAGCAUUGCCGGAGGGACAGAUAACCCCCACUUUGGCGACGACCCCGGCAUCUUCAUCACUAAGAUCAUCCCGGGGGGAGCUGCAGCAGAGGAUGGACGCCUCAGAGUAAACGACUGCAUACUGCGGGUGAACGAUGCCGACGUGUCUGAGGUGUGCCACAGCAAGGCGGUGGAGGCUCUGAAGGUGGCAGGCUCCAUCGUGAGGCUGUAUGUGCGGCGCCGCAGGCCGAUGCUGGAGACCAUCAUCGAGAUCAAACUCAUCAAAGGGCCCAAAGGGCUUGGCUUCAGUAUUGCAGGUGGCGUUGGAAACCAGCACAUCCCAGGUGACAACAGCAUUUAUGUCACCAAGAUCAUUGAUGGCGGUGCAGCUCAGAAGGACUUCAGACUACAAGUAGGGGACAGGCUGUUAA